rnacentral:pre_miRNA from 1 species
AAUAAUCUCAUUUUUCGUUUCUCCAUGUCUAACAUUUGAUCAUUCAUCUUAUUUAAAUUUUUUUAUGAUUAAUUUUUUUAUUAUUACUAGAUGAUAAAAUAUGAAUAUAGUACUUUAUACGUAACUAAUUUUUUAAAGUUUUUUAACAAAUUUUUCAAAUAAGAUGAAUGGUCAAACGUUGUUGGAUACAGAGAGGUAGUAGAAGAUACG